rnacentral:rRNA from 1 species
ACGGAAGGCAGCAGUGGGGAAUAUUGGGCAAUGGGGGAAACCCUGACCCAGCAACGCCGCGUGAAGGAAGAAGGUCUUCGGAUUGUAAACUUCUUUUAUGAGGGACGAAGGACGUGACGGUACCUCAUGAAUAAGCCACGGCUAACUACGUGCCAGCAGCCGCGGUAAUACGUAGGUGGCAAGCGUUAUCCGGAUUUACUGGGUGUAAAGGGCGCGUAGGCGGGGAUGCAAGUCAGGUGUGAAAUCUAUGGGCUUAACCCAUAAACUGCAUUUGAAACUGUUGCCCUUGAGUAUCGGAGAGGCAGGCGGAAUUCCUAGUGUAGCGGUGAAAUGCGUAGAUAUUAGGAGGAACACCAGUGGCGAAGGCGGCCUGCUGGACGACAACUGACGCUGAGGCGCGAAAGCGUGGGGAGCAAACAGGAUUAGAUACCCUGGUA